UACGUAGGGUGCGAGCGUUAAUCGGAAUUACUGGGCGUAAAGCGUGCGCAGGCGGUUUGGUAAGACGGAUGUGAAAUCCCCGGGCUUAACCUGGGAAUUGCAUUUGUGACUGCCCGGCUAGAGUGUGUCAGAGGGGGGUGGAAUUCCACGUGUAGCAGUGAAAUGCGUAGAUAUGUGGAGGAAUACCGAUGGCGAAGGCAGCCCCCUGGGAUAACACUGACGCUCAUGCACGAAAGCGUGGGGAGCAAACAGG
rnacentral:rRNA from 1 species